rnacentral:rRNA from 1 species
ACUCCUACGGGAGGCAGCAGUGGGGAAUAUUGCACAAUGGGCGCAAGCCUGAUGCAGCAACGCCGCGUGAGCGAUGAAGGCCUUCGGUCGUAAAGCUCUGUCCUCAAGGAAGAAUAAAUAGACGGUACUUGAGGAGGAAGCCCGGCUAACUACGUGCCAGCAGCCGCGGUAAUACGUAGGGGGCAAGCGUUAUCCGGAAUCACUGGGGCGUAAAGGGGUGCGUAGGCGGUUUUCAAGUCAGAAGUGAAAGGCUAUGGCUCAACCAUAGUAAGCUUUUGAAACUGUUAAACUUGAGUGCAGGAGAGGAAAGUGGAAUUCCUAGUGUAGAGGUGAAAUUCGUAGAUAUUAGGAGGAACACCAGUGGCGAAGGCGACUUUCUGGACUGUAACUGACGCUGAGGCACGAAAGCGUGGGGAGCGAACAGGAUUAGAUACCCUGGUAGCACAGGG